rnacentral:rRNA from 1 species
AUACGGAAGUUGCGAGCGUUAUCCGGAUUUAUUGGGUUUAAAGGGUGCGCAGGCGGCAUGUCAAGUCAGCGGUCAAAGUUCUGGGCUCAACCCAGUGAUGCCGUUGAAACUGGCGCGCUUGAGUUCGUGGGAGGAAGGCGGAAUGCGCGGUGUAGCGGUGAAAUGCAUAGAUAUCACGCAGACCCCCGAUUGCGGAGGCAGCCUUCCAUCACGUCACUGACGCUGAGGCACGAAAGCGUGGGUAUCGAACAGGAUUAGAUACCCUGGUAGUCCACGCAGUAAACGAUGAUAACUAGUUUUCCGGUGCGAUUGAGAACUGGGAGACCGAGCGAAAGCGUUAAGUUAUCCACCUGGGGAGUACGCCGGCAACGGUGAAACUCAAAGGAAUUGACGGGG